AGUGAACGCUGGCGGUAGGCCUAACACAUGCAAGUCGAACGGCAGCACAGGAGAGCUUGCUCUAUGGGUGGCGAGUGGCGGACGGGUGAGGAAUACAUCGGAAUCUACUCUGUCGUGGGGGGUAACGUAGGGAAACUUACGCUAAUACCGCAUACGACCUACGGGUGAAAGCAGGGGACCUUCGGGCCUUGCGCGAUUGAAUGAGCCGAUGUCGGAUUAGCUAGUUGGCGGGGUAAAGGCCCACCAAGGCGACCAUGCGUAGCUGGUCUGAAGGGAUGAUCAGCCACACUGGAACUGGAACACGUUCCAGACUCCUACGUGAGGCAGCGGUGUGGAAUAUUGAUCAAUGGGCUCAAACCUGAUCCAGCCAUGCUGCGUGGGUGAAGAAGGCCUUCGGGUUGUAAAGCCCUUUUGUUGGGAAAGAAAUCCGGCUGGCUAAUACCCGGUUGGGAUGACGGUACCCAAAGAAUAAGCACCGGCUAACUUCGUGCCAGCAGCCGCCGUAA
rnacentral:rRNA from 1 species